AUUUCUUCUAAAGCUAAAUAUUGGCAAGAGACCGAUAGCGAACAAGUACCGUGAGGGAAAGAUGAAAAGAACCUUGAAAAGGGGUUGAAAAGAAAGUGAAAUUGUUAAAAGGGAAACGCUUAAAAAGGGUAAAUGAAUAAUUAAAAAAUAUAAUUUUUUUAUACUAAUUUAAUUAUUCUGUGGUUAAUAAAAAUUUAUUAAAAUAAAAAAGAAUUUUAUAAAGGUACAUUGAAUAAUUUUAUUUAAUGACUUAUAGUAUAAAAUUUAAAAUAUUUUAAUAGAUUUUUUUUUUUAUAAUUUAUAAACUUUUUUAAAGGUUAUAAAUUUAUUGAUCAUAACUUCUUUAAGCGACCCGUCUUGAAACACGGACCAAGGAGUCUAACAUUUAUGCAAGUAGGUGAGAUUUUUAAACUCAUAUGCGUAAUGAAAGUGAAUUCAAGGUAGGAUAAUUAACGAAAGUUAAUUUGCACUAUCGACCGAUCUAAUUGGUUUUUAUCAAUAGAAUUGAGUUAGAGCAUAUAUGUUGGGACCCGAAAGAUGGUGAACUAUGCCUGAAUAGGGUGAAGCCAGAGGAAACUCUGGUGGAGGCUCGUAGCGAUU
rnacentral:rRNA from 1 species